rfam:Schistosoma curassoni strain Dakar, Senegal genome assembly, scaffold: SCTD_scaffold0000061
GCCUAGCUGACGAGUUCCAAAUAGGACGAAACACGCGUCUUGGAU